rnacentral:rRNA from 1 species
GGCAGCCUUACACAUGCAGUCGAACGGGCUCUUCGGAGCUAGUGGCGGACGGGUGAGUAACGCGUGAGAAUCUGGCUUCAGGUCUGGGACAACCACUGGAAACGGUGGCUAAUACCGGAUGUGCCGAGAGGUGAAAGGCUUGCUGCCUGAAGAUGAGCUCGCGUCUGAUUAGCUAGUUGGUAGUGUAAUGGACUACCAAGGCGACGAUCAGUAGCUGGUCUGAGAGGAUGAUCAGCCACACUGGGACUGAGACACGGCCCAGACUCCUACGGGAGGCAGCAGUGGGGAAUUUUCCGCAAUGGGCGAAAGCCUGACGGAGCAAUACCGCGUGAGGGAGGAAGGCUCUUGGGUUGUAAACCUCUUUUCUCAGGGAAGAAGACAAUGACGGUACCUGAGGAAUAAGCAUCGGCUAACUCCGUGCCAGCAGCCGCGGUAAUACGGAGGAUGCAAGCGUUAUCCGGAAUGAUUGGGCGUAAAGCGUCCGCAGGUGGCUGUGUAAGUCUGCUGUCAAAGAGCAAAGCUCAACUUUGUAAAGGCAGUGGAAACUACACGGCUAGAGUGCGUUCGGGGCAGAGGGAAUUCCUGGUGUAGCGGUGAAUUGGCGUAGAAAAAACG